UAAUAAGAAACAAAAAUUGUAUUUAGUUUCGACCUAAAAUUUAGAUGUUUACUUCAUCCUUAUUUU
rnacentral:tRNA from 1 species